rnacentral:rRNA from 1 species
CCCUUAGAUGUUCUGGGCCGCACGCGUGCUACACUGAGUGGAUCAGCGGGUCAGGUUGCGCGAAAGCGUUUCCUAAUCUUGAAAUCCGCUCGUGAUGGGGAUUGACGGUUGCAAUUUUCUGUCAUGAACGAGGAAUACCUUGUAAGCGUGGGUCAUCAUCCCGCGCUGAAUACGUCCCUGCCCUUUGUACACACCGCCCGUCGCUCCUACCGAUUGAGUGGUCCGGUGAGGCUUUGGGAUCUGAGCGGAAAGAGCGUUUCGCUCGUUCUGCCCGGAAAACUCAGUCGAACCUUAUCAUUUAGAGGAAGGAGAAGUCGUAACA